AAAAAAAAAAAAAAAAUCUAAGUACCAUCACUUUCUCACUAAGUAAACAUUAUUACAACACAAAAACAGAAUUUUAUUCGUAAGUAAUAAUGAAAAUUAUGUAAAAUCUAAGGACAAGAAUCGAAGUUGAGUUGAUGAGAUCAUAAAGAUCAAGAAGAUCAAGUUUAAGCAGUCACAUCUCUAUCUCCAAACUCUCUGUUCAAGACUUCAAGUAAUCUACAAACUCUCAUUGGUCUGUCUGCAUCAAGCUGACUACAAAAACAAUCUUUCCACACAAUCUCAUUGAUAACUUCUUGUAUCGCCUUGUCGAUGACAUUUUGCUUACAUUCUGAUUCUUUAAGGGAUCCAACUAGAGUUACUGCAGCUGUUGAUUUCACCCACUGCAUCACGACCAUUUCCACAAGUUUACCGCCAAAUCUUGCUGGAACAGAGACACUGGCCAAGAAAUACAAUCCAUACCUUAAUAUAUCGUGUUCGAGCUUUAGCAACACACACUGUUUUUGGUUCGCACAGAGCAUAAAAGGAUAAGCACGCAAACAAAAUUCUAAAACAAAAUCUGAACAUCAGGCGAGGACAGUCUCUGUUUCAUUAACCGGCUUGGAGGACCGAUUUGAUUGGUCCGGUUGAUUAUCAAAUCAUCUUUUAGAUCGGUGUAUCUGAUUGGGCGUACAAUUCCAUUAUUUUCAACGUUUUGUUUAGUUUCGAAAUAAGUUUUCGUAAUUUUGUUUUAACUUCUAAUAUUUUUUUUUAAUGGUAGAAUUCUACGAUUCGGAUUAGAUUUUCUUAAUUCGGUUUGUAUCGGUUUCGUUAAUCCGAAGUAAAUAGUAAAUACGCCUAAAUAGCAAACAGGCCAAUGCAAGUUGAUGAUACGUGCUGGUUAAAGUAGAGGGUAUAUUUGUAACUUCCAUUUUGAGAGGAUUUAAUAAGGUUACGUCUCUACCUGUUUGAAAAACACGACCUGUAACCCUAGCCGCCUUGGAAAUUCCUUAUUUUUUUUUUCCACAAAUUUUCAAAGAAAUUCGCUCAGAUCCUCUCCUUCUUCCAAAUCGAUCUUCAAAUCAAUUGUAAUUUUCUUUUUCUUCUUGAUUUUAGCUUUCGAUUGAUACCUGUAUUGAUAUCAUCCUUCGAUUUGGUCAAAUCUAGGGUUUUUUUCAAUUGGGUUCUUGAUAAAGGUCAGAUCUGUUUAGGCGUUUGUUUGGAUAUCGAUUUCUCUCGACAUCCCUGUCAAAAAUUUUCCUUGAUUUCCAGUUUUCCCCAAUUUCUUUAUCCUAAUUGGUUCAGCCCAGAAUUUGAUGCCCUAGGGUUCGUUAGAUCUUUAAAUUAAUUUGGGGCUUUCGUUCCUCUUGCUGAAAAUUCAUUGAUUUUUAUGGUUUUGGACUCUUGAUUCUAUGAUUCUAGUCGUGAUUCGUGAAUUGAAAUUAUUAGGGUUAGGGUUGCAGUCAAUUUGGGGAUUUUUUGUUUUUUUGUUUUUUUUUAUAAUUUAACCGGUUAAAUUAAAAUUAAGGAAACAUAUUCCUGUACAAAGUUUGACUUUUGACUCUAAAAUAAAAUUAUCACAAUACUCAACAAAACCUUUUAAUCCCUUUCCUCAAAUUGAAGAUUAACUUUGCUUAGCUAUAUAAUUCAAUAUUGUGGGUCCGAAGUUAAAAACUCAUAUCUACCUAAACACAUCAAAUUCAAAGUGAUAUAUAUCUCUUGCCCAUAUGUAAAUUACCAACCUUUAAUGUCAAGCAAGUGACUAAACUGACUUUGGUUCUUACCAUUCAGGUCUGAAAAACAUGGGAUUGAAGCGACCUUUUGAUGCUGAAGAGAUGCAAGAAUGCAAUGCUAAGCACGCAAGACAACUUAGUUAUAGCUCUAAGCAGCUGAACCAAUUAGACGAGUCUAUUCCAUAUCAUGUUCCUCUGGAGAAAACAGGUGUCAUAGGUACAAUGAAACCCUCGCAACUGUUAAAUGUCAUAUAAUUGAUAUAAUAAACUUUUGUUCUGCUAAGCUUGAGUUACUUACUUGGCAAGUGUGUUAACCUGGACGUCUCUUGCAAUGUGUUUUAUUUGCAGUAGAGGAUCUGAGUGGUCUCUGUGAGAAGAAGCCUACAUGGACCAACGAUGCAAGUCAUGUUGACAAGGAUUUCGAGACAUGUGCACCAUUCUCGUGGUUCUCAACCGGUUUGUGUCAAGAGGAUGCUCCGUCUGGAGGGACGACUCAGUCAUCUCUUUCUCAUCAGUCUUCUGGUUCAGAUUUCACCUGGAGGCCACUUUCCCCAGUGGAGGAUGUUUAUACUUGUCUGAUGAAUCAUGCUCCUAGGAAACAAGUUCCGGUUGGGUCUACUCACCAGGCUGAUAUCCCUGAAUGUGUCAAGGAAGCGACUCUUGAUCAGUCCAAGACUUGUGCUAACGGUGACUUGGAAGUAAAACUGACGGGAAAGUGCAUAAUUCCGAUGCCUGACUCAGACGUUUGUGGAACUGGUCAAGGAAGAAAGGAAUGUCUUUGCCCGGAUAAAGGCUCCGUUAGAUGCGUGCGGCGACACACCAUGGAAGCAAGAGAGAGCCUGAUCGAAACUAUUGGAUACGAAAGGUUUGUGGAGCUAGGGCUCUGUGAAAUGGGGGACGAAGUUACAAGCCUAUGGACUGAAGACGAAGAAGAUCUCUUUCAUAAAGUUGUGUACUCCAACCCUGUUUCACUGGGUCGCGAUUUCUGGAAGCAGUUAAAGGCAACGUUUCCUUCAAGAACCAUGAAGGAACUUGUUAGCUACUACUUCAACGUCUUCAUCUUGCGGAGACGGGCAAUUCAGAACCGGUUCAAAACCCUAGACGUUGAUAGUGACGACGACGAGUGGCAAGUAGAGUAUGACGUUUUUUACAGCGGCAAAUCUUUAGAUGAGGACGACAACAACAACGGAAAGAGUUCCUCACAUGAAGAUAACGAGGAGGAAGAUGAAGAAACCAACAGCAGUGAUGAUGAUGAUGAAGAAGAAUCACCAGUCAACGAUGCUCAUUGUGUAUAUAUGGAUAAGGUUUCAAGAGACGGUGCUGGUGAAGAGGUAAAUGUGGAAGACGAUUCGUGUAUGUCCUUCGAGCUACAGGACUCCAAUCUGAUCUUCUCUCACAGCCCAAUCGAAAACAGAGAGUGCCAUAGAUCUGGUGAUGAUUCGUAUUCAUUUGAUAAUGCUGCUUGUGAUCGGUGAUUCACAUCAGAUUGUUGGACCAAGAACAACGAUCUUCUUCCAACUUCGAACAUCAUUGACGAGAUAUUUGGUCAAGACGACUGGGGAGAGAAUGAUAAUGAAGCUGAUGAUGAUGAUAACUCGAAGGGGAAGUAAUUAGGUCUUUCUUCUCCGGUUUCUGCAGGUUUUUCUCUUUUAAUUUUCUAAGUGAAAUUAUUUAAAGAAGCAGAAGUUUGAAAGUUUCCUCCUUGGAAUUUUUUGGGGUUUUUAGGUUGAAGAAGAAGGGACUCCUGAUUGAUUUGACUUUGUUUAAAGCCAUUAAAUCCGAGGAACCCUUUUCUUUUAGUUUUUAAUACCUCAAGAUUAUUUAGUCAAUAAUCUUUGUAUAUUUUGCUGUAAAAAGAAAAAAAAAAAAUUGGGAAAGCUAUCCAAAUUUUUGUAUUGAUAAUGACUAAACUAACUGCAAAAGAAUCUUGACUUUUCCAUAAUCUGUCAUAAGUUUCAACUUUUCCAAUGCGUCAGCACUUCUGUAUAAGGAAAAUGCUCAUUUCUCUUGCUGCUGCUAGAUUAUGAAACUAAUUGAUGAUUUCCUGUUUUGAAGCCAAAACGCAAUAUGUCGCAUAUUGGUUUACAGUGAAAGUUAUGCUGUAGAAAGGAUUUUCUUUUGAUGAAUUUUUUUUUCAUGGCUUUAUCUGUUAUUAAGUUACUGGAAAUAAAAGAAAAAGCGCCUUGGUUAUAGGCUCUGAACUGGACUCUAAUUGCAUAAAGAUUUUAUUAUUAUCGAGUAAAACUUACAUAUUAAAGCCUUAGAGAGGUUAUUAAGGUGUACCUUGUAUAUAAGAAUGCUAUACAAAAUCUGUGGCAAACAAACAAAAACAAAUCAGUUGAAUCAUGUCUCCUCGUUCUUCACUGGGAUCCAACGACCAUUAGAUGAUCCAACUCCAGAUUCUUUCUUCCUACGGCUAAAAAACCCGAUAAAAUACCCCAAAAUCACUCCCAAAACCAUCACACUUGCUCCUUCAAUGUACCACAAGACUGAAAAUUCAGAACCAGAUCCAAAGUUUGAGUCUUUACCAUCGUCACUGCCACUAAUAACUUCCCCUGAAGCCAAAAUCUCAACCACAUCAUGAACUUCUCCGUCGUGGUUCCCCACAUAAGAAAGUGUGAGUCUUUCCUUAUUAGCAACCAAACGAGUGUACCCAAACUCUCCUCCACGGUACAUUGACCGAACAGGCUGAGGAAAGAUCGGAACAUCCGGGUGAUUAGGUCUCGGUUCCCAAAUCGGUUGCGUGUCUUUUCCAGCCAUACCAAUCACAAGAUGAACAGGGUUUCCUUGCCAACGUUGACCACAAGUGUUGUUACUGAUCGGACAAAACCUUUCGUAUCUAUGAACAUGUCCCCAUAAAGCAAUCGUCACAUUGUUCUUCACAAACAACGGUUCCAAAUGCUCGAUCAUCCUCUGUCUUAUCGCAGCGUCUCUGACCUUAGUGCUUGUAGUGUACAUCGGUCUAUGCCCUUGAACUACAACAAACGGUGUCUUGCUCCUAUUAACAGACUCUAGAUCACUCUUUAAGAAACUAUACUGCUUCCCUCCUUUGAGAAAAUCCGUCUCUGUCGAAAUGUAAACGAAAUGGACCGAACCCAUAUCAUAAGAAUAGUAAAGGUUUCGACUUUGAGGUCCUUGAACCAUCCCUGUGGCUUCCGAUGAAUUUCCAGGCAUGUUGAACUUAACACUAUACGGUACUCCACACUCGCCACCACUAUCUUUACCAUAUACAUAAGCAGCCCAAUCUGGUUUCCAUGGCUGCAUAGGCCAAUCAUACUCAUGGUUACCAAUGCACACAUGGUAUGGUACUUUAGAAGCUAUUGGCUCAAUCUGAGCAAAGAACUCGUCCCAAAUCCACGAGUAGCCUCGCGCAUAGCUUAUAUCUCCAAUGUGUGAAACAAUCGCAGCUUUAUCACCACCUAGAGCUUCAAUAUCUCUUAAGAUCCAUUUCACAGUUGAUAAACUUUCGUUUUCUCCACGGAUAAAUGUUCUGUAAGGUGUGGAACAUCCCAUAUCUCCAAACAUGAAAGCUAGAGUUUCCUCUGAGUUUUCAUUUCGAGAAACAAAGCUAUGAAUCUCACUCCAUCCUUUGGAAUCACUCCCAACCUGAGCAAUUACAUAUGUUGAUCAAAACUCAACAUUUUGAUUUUCGAAAAACAUUAAAGUUUCGAAAUUUAGUGUUUAAAUUUGUACCUGGUAAUAGUAUUUGACCCCUUCUUUCAGAUUCUUCAUCACGGCGUCGAAUGUCCAACCUGGAUCUCUCCAUCCAACGGUGGAAUUCGCCGGCGCGUGGCACAUAUGUUCCCUCUCGUACCUAAUCCCACGCGCCGCAACGAUGUUGUCGAGCCUCUCCUUAACCUCUCCGUAUCGAGCUAAUCGUUCUUCACCAUCUCCUGUGACGAACAUGACUCGCAUCUCGUCCACCGUAUCUGUGUAGCUUAAAUGGAUCUGCUCCGGCCGGUUAAUGGCGGACCGGAAAGUUAACCGGUUUGAUUCGGCAAGAAGAUGACGAGUUCCGGGUAAAGGGUUAUGGUCAUGGUCGUUGUGUUUCGGGUUGAUCUCGGAUUGGGUCCAGCGGAAGAUCCGGAAUGAGUAAUCCGAUCGGAAAUUUGUUAAGGGGAGGGAAAUCGAACCCGAUCCGGAUUUCCAAUUGGGCGAAUCGGAAAGGAAUUUGUAGCCAAUGAAGUGAUCGUGAGGAGAUUCCGGUGGCGAGUAGAUUCCUAACCAAUCGAGAUCAGACGGUGACUCGACGCCGGACCAUUUGAUCACGACGGUGUCGCCGGAUCGAUUGAGGGUUUGGGGAGAAACUGAAAUUGUCACUGCGGAGUAAACAGAGGAAAUGAAGAGGAAGAAGAAGAGAGAGUAAACGGCGAUCAUGAUGACGGUGGCCGGUACGGUGGAGAUAGUAGUUAGUCAAAAAGUCAACGUUUUUGGAGUCAUUUGAUUGGUGUUUUUUUUUUAGUUUGUGCUUCUGUUUGGGUUUGCUGAAAAAUAAAAUCACUUUAGCUUUAAGGAGUGAUUAUGAAGUCAUUUUGAAACCAACCCUGAUUUAUGACUUAGCACCUUUAAAAGACUAUGGUAUUUUUAUUUUAUUUGUUUCUUUAUUAAAACUAAACGUGAUAUUAUUUAUUUAUUUUUGUCGCUAAGUUUUUAUGAAAAUAGAGUGGUCAAUGUGAGAACUCGGCAUUUUGGCUUGUUAAAAUUAAUGUAUUGUCUCUGUUUCAGACACAAUACUACAAUGCAAUGUAAUAAUAAUAAAAAAAAACACAGUGUGAAUAAAAGACUUUAGAAAAGUGAAAUAAUGGAACAGGGGAGAUUCAAAGGGGUGACCUGAGAACACAAACACGAUUGUUUCAGUGAAAAAUCUUAAGGAAACCAGAGGAUCUGUGUUCUCAUAUCACUCCUUUGAGAUUUCGCCACCUGUUUGUUCUUCUAUCUCCAUACAUUACAUUACAAUCUGUUUCUUCUUUUAUAUAAUAGUUUCGUUUCCUUGGUCUGUCUUCGUUUUUGUCCCCUUCUGUUAUGUCAUAAUAAUGUCGUCACUUUGUUGACAAACAAAAAAAUUGUAGGAUUAGUGUGGUCAUCUUCACGACAUCUUGUACAUGUUCGAAUUCAUGAAUGGAAUGAUGAUUAACCAAAGUUAUUGGGCUCAGAACAAAUAUCUAAGAUUGGGGAUUCAUGAGACUAUUGGGCCUUUCUUCUAGUAGGCCCAUAUAAAACUCGUCUAAAGCCUUCUUUAUUUUAAAGAUUUAAUUCACACCGCCGACAAAGUCAAUUAUAAUACAUUGUCGUGGCAUCGGAUCCAAUUUCUCGUGCCACCCAUCAAUGCUUCAACUAACUAAUCCAUAGGUAUUUAUUAUGUUCAAGCUGUAAUAAAUUUGAACACUAGGUCACUAGAGAUUUAUGAACAAGUUUAUAACAUAUCAAAAUGGGUGAAAAUGUAACAAAAAUGUUUAUGCAGGAAAGUAAAAAAUUUGUAAAUGUUAAUCUGUGGUGCAAGAAUCGCGACUAUAAUUGUCUCCAUUAAACUAGUGGAUAAAGAAAAAGGCAAAAUAAACUAGUGGACAACGAAAAUAGAACUAAAUUUUCUGAUUUUCAAUAAAUAUCACACCCCGGAUAACUUGUUUGUUAUUGUACAUUUUCCAAAUUCAAAACUGACAAAAAAAAAGUUUUUGCUUUGAGACAAAAGAAACAUGGACUUUCUCUCCGAUCAAGUAAAGAAGAAAUUUUCCGACAAGAAGCCGGAUAACUCAGAGCCGGAGUCGCCGAACAAGAACAACAACAAACCCGGUCACGGCGAGCCAACACAUAAACCGGUUUCCAACGCAGAUGCAACAACACAUAGGCCAGCAACGAACGCCGAGCUCAUGGCUAGUGCCAAGAUUGUAGCCGAAGCUGCUCAAGCCGCUGCUCGCAGCGAGACAGACAAGCUUGACAAAGCUAAAGUCGCCGGAGCCACCGCCGAUAUCCUCGACGCCGCUACUAGAUACGGUAAGCUCGAUGAAAAAAGUGGUGUGGGCCAGUACCUCGAAAAGGCUGAAAAUUAUCUCCACAAGUAUGAAUCUUCACACUCUCACUCCUCCGGCGGUGGAAGCCACGGCGGUGUCGGUGGCGGAGGCAGUCACGGUGGUGUUAGCGGAAGCCACGGUGGUGGAGCUGGAGAACCGGCGGCUAAGAAAGGGGAUGAGAAAUCGGGAGGUGGCAGCCAUGGGUUUGGAGACUAUGCUAAGAUGGCUCAAGGUUUUAUGAAGUGACUAAUGUUUAAUUAGUACUAUUCCUUAGUAAUUAUCUUGCAUAAUCACUUUUAGUAAGUUGUCGAUUUCUGAAUUGUUAAGUGUUUCUGUCAUCUGUGUAGGGUGGAGGAAUUUGCUGAUGUAAAAUAAAAUAUUAUGGCCGCUAAUUCUCGAUAUUGCGUUAAUUCAAGAAUUCUAAGCAAAAGUCUUAUCAUAUGAAAAUUAAGAAAUGGGGAUACACAAAAUUAUGAACCGAUUAAAGUAACAGCAUAUGUAGUUAAUAAAAUUACAUGAUAUACCAAAGACUCCCCUUAUCUACAUGAGAGUUUCAAUUGACCAGAAGUCCGGUUCCGAAUUAGACAAUUGCCAUCAUCAAGCGAUUUGCAUUUCUGUACAUUAUAUCACAUAAUUAAACCCAAAACUGAGCUUGAAAAGUUACAGCCUUGAGAGCUUGAGGACUACUAUGUUAGACAAGUUAAUAUUUGCCUCCAGGCUCCAAUAUACGAGCCCACUAUGCGAAGCCAUUGGGCCUUUUUGGGGGGAAAUUGUUGUUUCCUUUUUUGUAAUCAAAAUUAGGGGAAUCAUCAAUACGUAGUAGAUAUUUAAUAUCUUUGGUCUCUGGGUUUUCUUUUUGUUUACACUUUCCGGAUUUUCUCAAUUCGAACCUUCGAAACAAAAAAGCUUUAAUCAAAUCCUUUACUCACGCCAUGGAAAUUGGAACCGAUGCUCCGAAGGGACAAGAAUCGAAGCAGAUCAGAGACGAAGAACUAUUCAAAGCUGCGGAAUCUGGUGAUUCUUCGUUGUUCAUGUCAUUAUCUCCUCAACAGCUUAAAAAAUCUCUGAGUUUCAGAAACGAAGACGGUCGCUCUCUCCUCCAUGUCUCAGCUUCGUUUGGCCAUUCUGAGGUUUUGUUCCUUUGUUCUAAUACUAAUCUGUAGUUACAUAAGAAGCACAAUUUGAAUUGAUCCCUAGAAAACGAAGAUAUUAGGAGUAAAGUUGCGAUAUUGAGCUGAUGAUUCAAACCUUAGGAAGAUUUUUGACUCUAGUUGUUCACAAGUGGCUCUGAAAACCACAAAAAUCCUGAGAAGAAAAACAUGUUUAGAUGUUUAAACCUUAUGGAUAAGAAAUCUGCAGGUAGUGAAGCUGUUAUCAAGUGGAGAUGAUGACUCAAAUAAUGUAAUCAACAGCAAGGAUGAUGAAGGCUGGGCUCCUCUACAUUCUGCUUCCAGCAUCGGCAAUGCUAAGCUCGUUGAACUGUUAUUGACUAGAGGUUUUUGUUUGUGUAAUCUUGUUUGCCUUAUCAAUAAAGUUGGAAAGAUGGAAAAUCUUUAUUUCCUUAUCAAUAAAGUUGUGAUCUUUGAAGCUGGUUUUGUGUGUGUGUGUGUUUUCUUAUUCUCUUGUUUCAAUUCCUCAUGCGAUUCAACUUCUACUCGGAAUGAUUGAUCACUGACUAUCUUUCUUUGUUAUAAGAUAGUCAUCCAUGAAUUUAGGCUGCGGUAAAGUUAUUGCAUAUAUGUUCUUUUGGUUGAAGUGGGUUCUCUGAGUUACUUCUUCUACUGAUUGGCUCCUGUUUCAAUUCCUUUUAAGAGGUUGUUAUGUAAAGCUUGAUGCAUUUGAUGAUGGUUUUCUCUUUUUUUUUGUGUGUGUUCAGGUGCUGAUGUCAAUGCCAAAAACAACGGUGGUCGUACUGCUCUUCACUAUGCAGCUAGCAAAGGAUGGUUGGAAAUCGCUCGGCUUUUACUAACACACGGCGCAAAGAUUAACAUCAAAGACAAGGUUUUGUAGCUUAAUGUCUUUUGGUUUUCCCUAUUUGAUGACAUCUUAUUGACUCGUGUUUACACAUAAAACAAAUUUUGUGGCUUUCAGGUUGGUUGCACUCCUCUUCACAGGGCAGCAAGCACGGGUAAGUCUGAACUUUGUGAAUUCCUGAUCGAAGAAGGAGCAGAGAUCGAUGCUACUGAUAAAAUGGGCCAAACUCCACUCAUGCAUUCAGUGAUCUGCGAUGACAGACAGGUAAUAUUCCAAUGAAAUCAACUUCAAAGCUGCAUCUUUUCGAAAUCUGAAGUCUCUUGUAAUCGUUUCUCUUUGUUUACAUGGGGCUAGGUUGCGUUUCUGCUUGUAAGGCAUGGUGCAGAUGUCGAUGUAGAAGACAAAGAAGGCUACACUGUUCUAGGCCGAGCUUCCAGCGAUUUCCGACCAGCACUAAUCGAGGCUGCCAAGGCUAUGUUUGAAGGAUAAAUUUACUUUUGAUUUACUCGAAAACAUACACUAACUUUGAGAGUCUGAUUAGUUAAACUCUUUGUUCUUUCUAUAUCAGGAAACAGUAGAACAUGAUAGAGAGGAUGUUCUUUAUUUGUUCAACUUUGCAAGAUGUUUAUGCUUUUAUUUCCGAAAAAAAUGUUUAUGAAAUCAUGUUCUUCUCUGGAAAUUUACAUGUGCAUUAGUCAUUAGCUGUUUAUAUGAACUUAAGAACUCUAUAGACACAAUCUUCAUAUAAAGCUCCAAAUUAUUUUCUCUUUUCCUUCAAUUUAUAAGCCUUAGAAACUUGAAAACAAGUGACAAUGAUUUUUUUUUAGUUAUUAUUUCAAAGGAAAUAUAUUAUUCUGAAAAAAAUGCUUUUAGCUUUUCCCUUAUCUCCUUGGAAGUCAUUUACCCUCCUCACAAACAAAAAAAAAUCUAGAGGCAAUGAUGCAAUCCAAAAUCUCAACUUUCUCUCGACCAAGCUUGAGCUUCCAUGAAACAAAAGUAGUUCAUCAUCCUCGUAUCUCUAUGGCUUUAUGCUCCUCAACAUCAUCCACGUUUCAUCACCUUCUCUGCAAGUCCACCUUCCCUCUCGCUGCCUCACUCACCCUUCUCCUCUCUCCCUGUACCGGUAAGCUAAAUCUCAUCAAUUUUUCCCAAUUUAUUCAAUACGUAUACGUAAUCUCUACGUGUGUAUCAUCAUAGUUUGUUUAUGUUUGGAUCUUCCUCAGCUGAAGCAGGCUUAAUGUCAGGAAGUCCCGGCAUAGAAUCAAUUCCGGGUCCCGAGUUACCAAAGCUCGAAUUCCUUGACCGCUUCAAUGGUACCAAUUUUUCAAAUUCAUAAUUCCUUGUAAAAAAAGAGUGUUUUUGUCUGCUUCAAGAAAAAAGAUUCUUAAUUGCAGCAAAAAACCAGAAGUUCUACGCUGAAAAUGAUUCCAGAUUCAAAGAAUCUCCAAUUCUCAAGAAGUUGCUCGAGAAUUCCAAACUAAACAAAGAAAAGUUAGUAAAUUUCUAAAACUCUCACCAUUAUGAUACACACCCAUUUGGUCUCUUAGUGUUACUGAUCCAAAAAUGUGGAUAAAAACUGUAAAAGCUCAAAACUUUGAAACAUGUAACAUUGGCUUUG
rnacentral:lncRNA from 1 species